AUUUUGAAUCUAAAAUAGAUAAUUUGCGUGAUUUAUGUAAAUCCAAAGAGUUUUUGAAAAUGUGUGUAGUAAGUAGUGAUUCAAAGUAGUAUCAAUUAAAUCUAGGUACCUGCUGAAAAUGACUUCUUUCAAACGCUCCUGUGCGUAUAUUUGUGGUUUGAAAUUCAUAAAAUGUGCUUGGGAAAAAGAAAUAUGAUCAGAAUAUUCACUGACUAUCGACUAUUAUGCAAUCACUGUAUAAUCCAUUCAAAAUUAGGAGAACAGUGACAACCAAAUUUACCCAAUUACAGGAGUGAAUCUGAUCAAAUGUUCCGAGUCACUUCUUAAAUUUCUAUGAUUGACCCCGCCCUACUUAGUUACUGUUGCUGUGUCCGAUAAGCCAUGCCGCUCUCACACUCAGUACCGUCUCAAAAGCUGUGCCAAGUGUGCAACUGCACAGGGCCUCGCGCCUCUAAAGGGCCACGCUCCUGGCCUGCAUUUUAUGUCUAAUUUUUAUUACUGUUUUUCCACCCAUUUUGUACUUUGAAAGACUAAAAUAGUCAUAGUUUAUAGACAGUAUAAGACUCUGUGUACAAGAAUGAGUAAAGCUUUUUUGUUGUUAGGAUGACAACAUUUUUAAAAGUUAAACUUUUAGGCUGGUCUAGAGCCCUGCAUUUCACCCCGACUUUUUUACGGCCCUUGGGCCGGGCUUCGGGCCAGAAUGAUUAUGAUUAUAAUGAAAGAGGUUUUGUUUUUGAUUAGUUUUAUUUUGUAACACAGUAAUUUAAAGCUUUCUAAUAUAUAUAUAUAUAUAUAUCAUGUAUGUGAGGCAUGUAAGCUGUUCGGUGAGUUUCGGUUCAUUUUGCAUUUUAACAAACUAAAAUGCUCCAAACGUUUUUCUUAACUUAUUAAUAAAAAAUAAAAAAAAACUAUAAAAUAUACAUUCACUUUGCCAUUACAUACAAAACUGAACUAUUUUAAUAGCUGGAACAGUAGUAUAAGCUUUUUGGGCGAGGGGGGGGAA
ensembl:lncRNA